AUGGCGUCCUCCUGGACCUCGGCAUCCUGGUCACCGGACGACCUCCUCGUCGAACCCUCCCGCGACCGAGCUCCCCGCACCAGCGCCGAUGACGGAGGCGACGACGGCGACGUCUCGGUGCUACCCGAGCGGGUCAUCUCGCGGCUGCGCAGCCAAGGCGCCCUGGAGAAGAUCUGCAGGAAGUACUCCAUCCCCGACGGCUUCGCCCCGGUCCUCGCUCGCGGCCUCUCCUCCUGGUCGCCGCCGCCGCCCGGCUCCGUCUGCGUCACGGUGCUCAACCACUUCGGGCUCGCCCCGGGCCAGCUCGCGCCUAACGGCUGGCGCGCCCUGGCGGGCUUCGUCGUGCUCUCCCACUUGGCCGGCGUCGAGCCGUCGCUAGCCGUGUUCCGGCACUUCUUCGCGCUGCGCCUGUGUCCGCCGCACAGGUUCUACAGCUUCCGCGGCAAGGAUGCUGCCGGCCUGCUCUUCGGCCGGAUUCGCAGGACAAUGCGGGGUUGGAAGGAGGAGUUCUUCUUCUUGGAGUCGUCGGCGCCGUGGCCGUGCCCCGUGGAGUGGGGGGAGCCUUCCAGGUCCUCCACCAUGGAUCCGGCCCUCACCGUCGAGGAGAAGGCCGUGGCGGAGAAGCUGCUGUGUGCUCGAGGGAGUUCUCCGAUCGAUCUCAGCACGUAUCUCCACAACCGCAACAUGGCCGCGGCCAAGAUCAUCGGGGCACCAUCACGGCCGCCAACUCCUCAAGGCGCGCCUGUUGUUGUCGCCACGGAGGACAUUCUGGCAGAGAAGGCAGCAACGGCCGCGGCCGCGCGCGCGUCGGCGGGGAAGGUGACGGUGAAGAGCGAGCCGGACUGCAAGGCGCCUCCUUGUGCGCUGUCGCUUGGGAAGAGAAGGAAGCUGGAGAAGGACCCAGCGGGCACCAUCACGCCGUCCCGGGGGCGCGAGCUCGCCGCCUCCAAGCCGGCCGACGUCGUCGCCUCAAGCUACGUGUCAUUGUUACAGGGUGCGCAGGCGGCGAACGAGGUGGCAUUCUCGCUGGGGCACGCUCUGGAGCUGGAGGAGAAGCUGAGGGCGCGCGAGCGCGAGGCGGACACGCUCCGGGAGGAGCUGGGCAGGAAGACGAAGGCGCUGGAGCACGACGGCGCCGUCGCGGACGCGCUGCGGGCGGAGCUGCGCAAGGCGAUGGCCAAGCUCGCCGAGUCCAAGGCGGACGCGGAAACGGCGGAGCGGCGUGGGUACGAGCGCGGCAUGGAGGACAUGAAGCGCGCCGCGCUGCGCCGCCACCUGAAACUCGACCCGGCACGGCUUGUCGUGCCUCUCCACGGUCCCCCAUAG
rnacentral:rRNA from 1 species